GACGAACGCUGGCGGCGUGCUUAACACAUGCAAGUCGAACGAAGAGCGAUGGAAGCUUGCUUCUAUCAAUCUUAGUGGCGAACGGGUGAGUAACGCGUAAUCAACCUGCCCUUCAGAGGGGGACAACAGUUGGAAACGACUGCUAAUACCGCAUACGAUCUAAUCUCGGCAUCGAGGAUAGAUGAAAGGUGGCCUCUACAUGUAAGCUAUCACUGAAGGAGGGGAUUGCGUCUGAUUAGCUAGUUGGAGGGGUAACGGCCCACCAAGGCGAUGAUCAGUAGCCGGUCUGAGAGGAUGGACGGCCACAUUGGGACUGAGACACGGCCCAGGCUCCUACGGGAGGCAGCAGUGGGGAAUCUUCCGAAAUGGACGAAAGUCUGACGGAGCAACGCCGCGUGAGUGAUGACGGCCUUCGGGUUGUAAAGCUCUGUUAAUCGGGACGAAAGGCCUUCUUGCGAAUAGUGAGAAGGAUUGACGGUACCGGAAUAGAAAGCCACGGCUAACUACGUG
rnacentral:rRNA from 1 species